CAAUUCAAGCAGAAGCGCGCCAUCUUCUUGAAGUAACUUUGCCUGAGCUUCCUAAACCUGAAUUGCCUGAAAUCCCAACUUUGCCUAAGCUUGAAUUCCCUGAAAUUCCAAAACCGGAGCUGCCAACUCUGCCACAACCUGAAUUGCCUGAAUUCCCAAAGCCUGAACUGCCUACUCUGCCAAUGCCUGAACUCCCCCCGAUGCCAAAACUUGGGUUUCCUACAAUUCCUAAACCUGAACUCCCAACUUUGUCAAAGCCAGCAAUGGCUCAGAAGCCUUGAGUCAAUUAUCCUCUUUGCUAGCUCAUGAUUGAAGCAGCGUCGUUGAUCAAUGUUAUAGUACUUCCCAUGUGUCAUGUGUUUUUCUUUUGUUGUGCUGGAAUUGUUUGCAGCUUCCCUUUGGAAGGAUUAUCUAUGUGAUAUUUCUAUCAUCAGUCGUUUGUGUUUCUACUGGCAUUAAAUACAGUAUAC
rnacentral:lncRNA from 1 species